rnacentral:rRNA from 1 species
UACGGAGGGUGCAAACGUUGCUCGGAAUCAUUGGGCGUAAAGCGCACGUAGGUGGCUUGUUAAGUCGGGUGUGAAAUCCCUGGGCUCAACCCAGGAAGUGCACUCGAAACUGGCGAGCUUGAGUACUGAAGAGGGUCGCGGAAUUCCCGGUGUAGAGGUGAAAUUCGUAGAUAUCGGGAGGAACACCAGUGGCGAAGGCGGCGACCUGGGCAGAUACUGACACUGAGGUGCGAAAGCGUGGGGAGCAAACAGA